UACGUAGGGUGCAAGCGUUAAUCGGAAUUACUGGGCGUAAAGCGUGCGCAGGCGGUUUUGUAAGUCUGACGUGAAAUCCCCGGGCUCAACCUGGGAAUUGCGUUGGAGACUGCAAGGCUAGAAUCUGGCAGAGGGGGGUAGAAUUCCACGUGUAGCAGUGAAAUGCGUAGAGAUGUGGAGGAACACCGAUGGCGAAGGCAGCCCCCUGGGUCAAGAUUGACGCUCAUGCACGAAAGCGUGGGAAGCAAACAGG
rnacentral:rRNA from 1 species